rnacentral:rRNA from 1 species
CGCCCAUCAGCUAGCCCCACCUAUAAAAACAACAUACCACCAUAAAUAACCCCAAAACCACGCACUCCCCUAAAACAAAUCAUUUUCCAUCACCUAAGUAUGGGCGACAGAAAAGGACAUCCAUGGAGCUAUAGAAAAAGUACCGUAAGGGAACGCUGAAAUAGAGAUGAAACAGCCCAGUAAAGCCCUAAAAAGCAGAGAUUAAACCUCGUACCUUUUGCAUCAUGACUUAGCUAGCACCCCCAAGCAAAGAGCAUCUUUAGUUUGGCACCCCGAAACUAGUGUGAGCUACUCCAAGACAGCCUAUUCAAUAGGGCAAACCCGUCUCUGUGGCAAAAGAGUGGGAAGAGCUUUGAGUAGAGGUGACAGACCUACCGAACCUAGUUAUAGCUGGUUGCCUGAGAACUGGAUAGAAGUUCAGCCUCCCGGCUUCUCCAUUCAUAUACUAUUCCAAUAUGACUGCCCCCAGAUCUAAAAGAAACCCGCGAGAGUUAUUCUAAGGAGGUACAGCUCCUUUGAACCAAAAUACAAUUUUAUAAGGAGGGUAAAGAUCAUAAUCUUAACCAAGGCAGAAUGUCCUAGUGGGCCUAAAAGCAGCCACCCCUUUCAGAAAGCGUUAAAGCUCAGACAUACCUCUCCGCCCUAUAUCCCGAUAAUCUAAUCUUAACCCCCUAGCCCUAUCAGGCCGUUCCAUGCAAACAUGGAAGCGAUAAUGCUAACAUGAGUAACAAGAGGAUUUAUUUUAUCUGCGCUCCUCUCCCAGCACACGUGUACAUCGAAACGGACCAACCACCGAAACUUAACGGCCCCAAACAAAGAGGGAAUUGAAAGACAAACAUGAUAUACUAGAAAAUCAUCCAGCACGCAACCGUUAACCCCACACUGGUGUGCCAUUAAAGGAAAGACUAAAAGAAAAAGAAGGAACUCGGCAAACACAAGCCUCGCCUGUUUACCAAAAACAUCGCCUCUUGUACAACCACAUUAAAACAAAUAAGAGGUCCCGCCUGCCCAGUGACAACUGGUUCAACGGCCGCGGUAUUUUGACCGUGCAAAGGUAGCGUAAUCACUUGUCUUUUAAAUGAAGACCUGUAUGAAUGGCAUCACGAGGGCUUAGCUGUCUCCUUUUUCUAAGUCAGUGAAAUUGAUCUCCCCGUGCAGAAGCGGGGAUAAAAACAUAAGACGAGAAGACCCUAUGGAGCUUUAGACACCAGAAUAGCACAUGUUAAGACACCCUGAAUAAAGAACUGAACUUAAUGGCCCCCCUAUUCCAAUGUCUUCGGUUGGGGCGACCAUGAGGAACAAAAACCCCUCAUGUGGAAUGGGAGUACCACAACCCACACACUAUUUUUCCUAUACUCCUACAACCAAGAGCUACAACUCAAACUGACAGAAAUUCUGACCAACAAUGAUCCGGCAAUGCUGAUCAACGGACCAAGUUACCCUAGGGAUAACAGCGCAAUCCCCUUUUAGAGCCCAUAUCGACAAGGGGGUUUACGACCUCGAUGUUGGAUCAGGACAUCCUAAUGGUGCAGCCGCUAUUAAGGGUUCGUUUGUUCAACGAUUAAAGUCCUACGUGAUCUGAGUUCAGACCGGAGCAAUCCAGGUCAGUUUCUAUCUAUGCCCAUAAUUCUUUUUUAGUACGAAAGGACCGAAAAGAAAAGGCCCAUGCUAUAAGUAUGCCUUAUCCCUACCUAAUGAAAUCAACUAAACUAGGUAAAGGAACAUGCCCUCAACCCCGUCAAAGAGAAUGACAU